GGACGAGAAGCUUGCUUCUCUGAUGUUAGCGGCGGACGGGUGAGUAACACGUGGAUAACCUACCUAUAAGACUGGGAUAACUUCGGGAAACCGGAGCUAAUACCGGAUAAUAUUUUGAACCGCAUGGUUCAAAAGUGAAAGACGGUCUUGCUGUCGCUUAUAGAUGGAUCCGCGCUGCAUUAGCUAGUUGGUAAGGUAACGGCUUACCAAGGCAACGAUGCAUAGCCGACCUGAGAGGGUGAUCGGCCACACUGGAACUGAGACACGGUCCAGACUCCUACGGGAGGCAGCAGUAGGGAAUCUUCCGCAAUGGGCGAAAGCCUGACGGAGCAACGCCGCGUGAGUGAUGAAGGUCUUCGGAUCGUAAAACUCUGUUAUUAGGGAAGAACAUAUGUGUAAGUAACUGUGCACAUCUUGACGGUACCUAAUCAGAAAGCCACGGCUAACUACGUGCCAGCAGCCGCGGUAAUACGUAGGUGGCAAGCGCUAUCCGGAAUUAUUGGGCGUAAAGCGCGCGUAGGCGGUUUUUUAAGUCUGAUGUGAAAGCCCACGGCUCAACCGUGGAGGGUCAUUGGAAACUGGAAAACUUGAGUGCAGAAGAGGAAAGUGGAAUUCCAUGUGUAGCGGUGAAAUGCGCAGAGAUGUGGAGGAACACCAGUGGCGAAGGCGACUUUCUGGUCUGUAACUGACGCUGAUGUGCGAAAGCGUGGGGAUCAAACAGGAUUAGAUACCCUGGUAGUCCACGCCGUAAACGAUGCCCUAAGUGUUAGGGGUUUCCGCCCCUUAGU
rnacentral:rRNA from 1 species